GGGGGUAUAGCUCAGUGGUAGAGUGUGUAUUUACCAUGUGUGAGGUCUUGGGUUCAAUCCCAAGCAUAUCCA
rfam:Camelus ferus unplaced genomic scaffold scaffold2439, whole genome shotgun sequence.